rnacentral:lncRNA from 1 species
UUUGAUUCACAUUUGAUCAUUGUGCUUUGAUAUUUCAUUUGAAUUCUCCUUUUAUUUCAUUUCAUUUUCAUCUCAUUUCUUCGUUUUAUUUUGGCCAAUGAGUUAAUGAUUUGUGGUUGGUCUUGACAUAUGAGAGGCUUAACCUUCUUUGAUCCAAAUCAAACUCAACUUGAUCAAAGAUCAAGUGAGUUGCUUUGUGUCCAAGAUAGGUUUUGAUCCAAAUCAAACUCAACUUGAUCAAAGAUCAAGUGAGUUGCUUUGUGUCCAAGAUAGGUUGCUUCUUGGUCAAGCAAAAAACCUAAAGUCCAUACAAGGCUUUCCUUCUU